rnacentral:rRNA from 1 species
UACGAAGGGGGCUAGCGUUGCUCGGAAUCACUGGGCGUAAAGGGCUCGUAGGCGGUCAACUAAGUCGGAUGUGAAAUCCCCAGGCUUAACCUGGGAACUGCAUCCGAUACUGGAUGGCUUGAAUCCGGGAGAGGGAUGCAGAAUUCCAGGUGUAGCGGUGAAAUGCGUAGAUAUCUGGAGGAAUACCGGUGGCGAAGGCGGCAUCCUGGACCGGCAUUGACGCUGAGUGAGCGAAAGCCAGGGGAGCAAACGGG